CACAAGCACAGGCAAUCGACGGAAGACGCCACUGAACGCGCCACACGAAUGAAAGCCGGAACUAAUAAUGGAGCGACGAGCCUGCCGAAAUUAACAUCCACCACCAACAAUAACAACACACAUAAUAAGCGCACGUUUGCUACAAAUACCGCCAAGCCAAAGAACACGUACAUUUGCAAUGGGCGCGAAUGGCACUACUCGCAUACAGCUUACACCAAAACGUAUAAUAACAGCGCACAAUAACAUUAAAAUACAACAACAAGAAAGUGUAGCAAGAACAUACUGCAUGAGAGCAGUUAGUUGCAGGGAGUACUUGACUUGAUUCCUCGCCAUCGCCAUCGCCAUCGCCGACUCGUCAAUCGCAAUGUGGCAGUCGUGUGAAGUGAACGCGUAAAACGCAACGCUUGUGAAAAUGUUAGCUUUGCGUUGCAAUAGUAUACUUUAAAAGUUGUGUGUUUUUCUGCUUUUUUGUGACAUUAACAAUGCGUUGCGACCAAUUACGGUGUCUUAUUGAAGUGAAGUCGAGCGUAAACGAAGUGAAAAUGAUUAAGCAAUAUUGAUUAAGAAAAUGCAAAAUUAUGUAAAUCAAUUUGGUCAAAGCGCAAAGCAAAUUAGGAAAAAGAAGUAAUCACAUACAUAUGCAAAUGUGUGUGUGUGUGUGUAUGUGUAUGUGUGCCAGUUACUUAUGCGCUUAAAGUACAUUUUACGGUGAAAUGAGUUGAGUUUAGCAAAAAGUUCGUUGUGAAAAAUUCGCCACAAACACGCAGCGUGUGCUAGUAUGACAAAAUUCUGUAUGAGAGUUACGAAAAAUACUAUAUAUAAAAUACAGGUAAAAAAACCAAACUGGUUUCUAAUGAAUACUGAAGUAGAUAAUAAAUAUGUAUGUGGAGAUCUGUAGAAUUUUCCGAACACAAACUGAAAAUAAAGAAUACACACAAGUGAUAACGGAGAUCCGCACUUUAAUUAUACCUAAAACAAAAACGAAUACUAAAAAUGUAACAACAACCGAAAUAUCGUAAUAGUCUUCCAAGAAACUAACAAAAACAAAGUUCUGUUCAGAAGUCCACAAGACCAGCGAUGGAAAAAAUUGUGGAAAUUUACAGCAGUUACAAUAACAAACGGCGACCUUUUCACGCUAGGAUUCAGAAAGAGUUUACAACGCUAGUGACGAGUACGAGAAAAAACUUAAAAUGCAGCAACAACAAAAAUUAUAUACAUAAAAACAACUGUAGCAAAACAACCACUACACACAACGAAAUUUCUGCAAAACAACAAAAGCAACAAUCAAAUCAACGACUGGGACCAAUUCGGCGAGAGCAACAGUACUAUGCACGACAUGCGAGCACGACAGCGGCAACAACACAAAGCCAACAACACGAACAACAACAACAACCACAGCUAACGCCCACUGUCAACUAUUUUCGCUUCUCCGCUUUGUAUGCACUUGUAGCGACUUCCGCUACAGCAGCCGCGUGCAACAUGCGUGAAACAUACGCGUGCGUGACUGCGUACGAUGAAGAUACCGAUGUCGUAGCUGAUAUUAAUGACUAUAUGCCACACAACCAUAAUACACGACAGCGUUGUGUGCACGACGCAAGCAUUUUGCAUUUGAGACGUAGCCAUAAAAGCCUUACACACUUCAGCAAAUACUUGCGCACCACAUGCCUCCGGAGUCGUAGCGGUGUUCGACAUGAUGCCGCCUCAGGUGAUGUCAGCGGUUGUGCUCUCUACAGUGCGUUUGGUACUGCUGCCGGAAGCGGAACCACGUAUGCUGGUAGUGGCCUCGAUACGCGUAGCAUUUUCUAUUUAACGCUCGUAUUUUUCAUCUAUUGUACCGUAAUGAUGCGCGCCUCCGUAGCGGCGACAGCCAUUGCCAAUGCGACAAUGCAUAGCAAUAAUAGUAAUUGCGUUGCCAAUGAUGCGCUCUCAGUGGCGGCAGUCACAUUGUCGUCAUUUUCUGUUGAUCCUAUUGCGAGCAAUGUGACGAGAACUAGUGCAAUAGUGAUUGACAACAGUGCCCAAGACACAGCGUCAGUUUCAGCGCCUAAUACUAUGCACAGUUCUAUAAAAAAACCAUCACAUGUCGCUGUUAACUUGACAACUGCUAUAGUGAAUGCUUCAUUGUUGGCAGCAGCUGAUGCGCCAGCCGAUUUUAUGGUGUACGCGAACGACACCAGCCUAGCGAAAGUGCAGCGCGUUGCAAAGCGCGAUACCGCUCAUGUGCCUGAUGAUGAGGAUGAUUCCGCCUAUCAUGAUGACGAAUUUGAUGAAUACGAGGCUUUAAUUAACAAUAGAUCUGCUAAGGGCAAAUAUAUCGGUGCUCCCUGCUUCAGUAACAUGACAUGCGAAACUUCAUUGAUUCAUGUCGCCUGUGAUAAGGAGACAAAGAUUUGCGGCUGUGAAAAAAAUUACCCAGUGCAGCUUGGACUGACAAAAGGUUGCGAUAAACCGAAAAAACUGGGCGAGCAGUGUUUCUACGAUGAAACCUGUAUGUUUAGCGAUGAAAAUUCCCUUUGUAUUCAAGUGCGACACAAUGCCAUGUGUCAAUGUGCGAAUGGGUUUCAUUCGGUUAGUCACACGAAGCCAACGCGACGUGUUUUUUGCACGAAAGACUUAAAGGAAUUAAAUUCUGAUCUGCCUACUCUACUGGGUGUCGCUACGGGCAUAGCAGUGCUUACCGGUCUUAUCUGUAUGGUACUACAUCUAUUUACCAAAACAAAGUAUCCACGUCCCCGAAACUUUGGCGAUGCGAAUCUACCGCCACCGAUAAUGUAUUCAAGCGAUACAGGUAUACCGUUGACAGUACAAUCGGGUCGACCAUCAUCACGUUCCAGUUUACGUUCGAGUGGCUCAAUCGGUUCCUAUGGCAAUCGACGCGCCUCAUCCGGUGGCGCUACAGCUGGUGUGCAUGGUAUGGGUGGUGGUGGCGGUGGCGGCAGUAGCGGUACGAAAGGCAUACUCGUCUCUACAUCACGUACAGGUGCGGCUAGAUCGGCCGCCAUAUUGCUUAUAUCGUGUCAUUUGACGGAGCUCGCCAAAGAGGCGGCCUUACGCACCACAACGUCGCGUCAAACUUCGGGCGCCGGCUGCAGUGCGAAUUCGCGUGACAAUCUGGAUGAGAAUGGGUCAGGUGGUGUCACAACUGCCGGCACAGUCGGUGGCAGUGGUAGUCGUAGCUGCGACAGUACAUUGUCAAUGACGCGUCAUCUGCAGAAGCAGUUGAACCAUCAGCGUCAUUUAUUAAGUCUUGAGCUGUCGCCGGCAAAAACGAAAAAUAACGAUAGAAUUAGAACAUUGUUGGGCAUUAAUGGAAUUGAUAAUUAUAGAACCGAUGACGAUGAUGAGUUAAAUAGUUUAGAUCAUAAUCACCUGCAAAUUGGUGCAUUGCCGACACCGGCCAGUGAAACGCCUAGAUUUGCGGUUCUCGAAGACCAAGUCUAGCGUCGGUUCAUAGUACUAGCUCGUCUGUGCGUAGUUAUAGUAUGAUGCGUUUCGAGAAGGAGGUCCAACAGAAAGAGAUACGUCAGGAGAUGAAAUUACGUUUGGCACGUCUGCAACAACAGCAACAUCUAAAUCAAAAUAAGCCGCAAAUUGUAAUUGGCGAUACGCUACAACAUCACAUGAGCGCUGCAUCGGCGCUAAGUCGCUUGAGCGGUAUGCCAACACCGAGUCCAUUAACUCCAAAUUCAACAGAUGAACUAUUACCGUCGGUGGAUGAGUUGCAAGAAUAUCCACCGAAAAGUGACGAUCUAGCAACAACAAUACACAAAAUGGCUGCUGAUAGCGUGGCCGCUUCUACGCUUACCGCGAUAAAGCAAGCAGCAAUCGGUACAAGCAUCGCCUUAACAACAACCAUGGGUGCAACAACAAUGGCUACGAGCUCGGCUGCCAUUGGUGGUGGCAGUUUGAUGACACCGGGUACACCAUCCGAUGUGGUUGGAGCUGCUGCCUAUAUUGGACCCUGUAGUUCAUCGACUGAAGCACUCUAAAAGAGUGACACUUAAGCGUUACAAAAAGGCGUUACACACACAAAUAAUCAAUUAGAAAAAUAAAGAAGAAUCUUAGACAGACAGUAGAAAUUAACGAAUUUGCCAGCAAUGAACAGUUAGAGGCUUCAAAUCGUAAAAAAAUCUACAUCUAUUUAAGUAUAAAAUAACCAUAUAGCAAUUAAAACGGUUUUGUACGACGUGUGUACGGCGCAUGCGCAAAACUUGAACGGUCAGUUGCGCAAACUUUAUAUUACUGAUGAGUUAUAAAAUCUAAAUUUAAAGAAAAUGCUAAAUAAAAUUAGCUAUAUGAAGUGCGUUUUGCUUAAACACUUAGACAAAAUUAAUAAGCUAAUUUUUUAUGCAGCCGUUGUUGUAGGUUAGGCUAGUUUAGCGUUAAUUGUAAUUUAAAUGCGACUUAAUUGUAACGGUUCUAUGUAUGUAUAACAUACCAAUAGUCAUUAUAGCGUUCCCCAUAUUGAAUUUAUACUAACACAUCCGCAAAUGUAAAUAUGUAAUGGUUUUAAUUUAAGCUAACUGUACUUUAAAGUUGUUGUUAUCACUGUAAUAGACCGAACUAAAAAGGCGUAAACGCCUAACAAUUUUUAUUGUGUAAAUUUUGAUUUGAUGAAAACAUUACAACGCUUUAACCAUGGUUGUCCUUGAUCUGCCUCCAUUACCCACAAAAGUGGUUUCACUUGAACUCUCAGUUUUCGUAUGAAAGCGUAGAUACGAUGAAAAUAUUUUUAAUACAUUUAAACUAAGCAAUAGACAGAACAGGAAUUGGCACAGCAUAUAUUUAUAACAUACUUUUUUGAUUUUAAGAUAAUUUCAUUCUUUUUUGUUACUUUAGGUUUAUGUAUUGGUUUCCUUACUUUUAGUUAUGUUUUACGUUAUAUAUUCUUUUAGUUAGCCGUAAUCAUUUACAAAAUUGAAUGUAUGUACGUUAUUAAUAGGCGAUUCAUUUCGAAACAUUUUGGAUUCUUUUGAUCCCAUAGCCGAUCUCCAGAAGGUCCUCUGUAAAAAGGUGUUUGGCGGUGAGGAAGAUUUUUCUACUUAGAAUUAUCUCAAACUCAAAUAAAAACUUUAACAUUAUUAUAGAUAAAGACGCUUAAUGAUCGUAGGAUUAGUCAAAAUUUUAUGUUUGGAAAUUAUUAUCAAAAAUUUCAUACCUUCAAUCUUUUCUUGAAAAUUAUAUUGUAUAUAAUAUCUAAGAAGGUCGUGUGUUCCUUUUGGAGAAAUUUUCCUCGCCGACUCUAAAAAACGCGUUUAAAGUUUUAGGUGUCGAAACUAUUUGGUGGAUCAAUUUCAAAUUCUUCGGGAACCUUUUCUAAUAUAUGUAUUUACGACAUAUUUGAAAAAAUUUAAUUUUUGUGAAAUUGAUUAAUGCAUAUAACCCUCAAAACUAUGCUCUCAGUGCAACUGUCUGAGAAGGUCGAUUGUGAUAGAGCGUAAUUUAAAUAAGUAUAAAAUAUUUCUCAGUGUAACUUAAUUUUAUUAUUUUAUUAGUUUACGUCCGAAAGUGCAAGGAUUAAUUAUCAUCUGUUAGGAAAAUAUAUAUAAAUAAAUUAUACUCCAUGGUUCAUUAAUAAUAUAAUUUAAUUAAAUUAGUUAUUGUUUUUUUUUUGUUUAAACUAAAAUAAUUUAAUUAAAAAGUAUUCUGGUGCCAGUUUCCAUAAAUUUAAAUAAAAUUGACUACUAUUAAAAAAAUUUGAUUUUUCUAAUAAUAUGAGAAUUUAGGAAGCAUCAUACAAAGAAAGAUCGAAAGCAGGAAAUGCAGUGUUAUUGAAUUUAAUUAUAUGUAUACUUAUAUAAAAAUUUCAAUAUAUAUAUAUAACAUAAAUAUAAUGUAGAUAAAUAAAAUGAAAUUAGCAAAAAUUUAAAAAGACUUUAGUAAAUUGAAAAUUUUAAUUUUUUAGUACCCAAGUACCCAAAAUAGCUAAGAUCAAUAAAAUAAGCGGAAAAUUACAUAAAUUAGUGAUGACAAAUUUACGUAUAGAAACAGUUAUAUAGUUAUAUUUUGAUUAUGAAGCGUAAUAUGUUAAAAAUGAAAUGCGAAACAAAAACAAAAUAUAUUAUGAAAAACCAAUAAUAAAAUUACAAUAAAAACAGUAUAAUUAAUUAGAUAAAAAUGUGUUAAAUAGAUUUUUGAUGUACAAGUAUAAAAAGUGUAUGCAAAUUUACAUAAAAUAAUUAAUAUACUUAUGUGUACGUGAAGUUUCUAACACAUAUGUAUGUAUGUUUGUAGCGUAAAAAUUUAUGGUAGGCAUAUUUGAUAAGGAUUUUUUAUAUACACACACACAAACUUUGUGGUCCUUAUAACUAUAGAUGUAUGUAUGUGUAUGUAUACAAAUGAAGAAGAAAUCGGCAAGUGUCACAUAUAUUUAAUAUGAUUUAUAAUGCAAAUAAAAGAAAUGCAACUAAUAAUAUUUGUUAUAAGUAGGCAAAAGUUAAAAACGAAUAUAACUAACUGUACAAGCGUUAAAUGUAUUUUGACAUAAAAAAUAUUUAUUUGUUGUUGUUAAGUUGACAUAUAGCAAAUGAGUUGAUUUUGUUACAAGCAUUAAUUCAUUCAACGCUAGGAAUUGUUGUGCAAUAAGAAAUAAAAAAAAAAACUAAAGCGUGUUGAAAAAGUAUUAGUUUAUAGAAAUUACUAUUUGAAUUACACACAAAUAUUAGUUUUUUAAUUGUAAACACGCAACAAAAACAUCACCUGUGUAUAAAUUGAUGUUUAGUAUUAGCAAAACAGUAUUAUUUACAAGAAGAAACAUUUUAUGAAUACAACUUUACUAAAGAAGAACACUUUUCUUAUUUAUAUUUAUGUAUAAAAAUACAUUCAAACACAAAUAUAUACAAAAAUGACACAAAAACAAUAGCAAACUUAUAGAAAAAUUGCAAUUUGUUGACUUAUUUGCAAUUGCAUUCUAAAAUACUACAGGGUCUACCAAUGAGAACGACGUGAUGUUGAAAUGAAACACUUAAAUUUGGUUAAAAUAGGUUCUUUAUUUCUUUUUUGUUAUGCAGAUAAUUUUAUGCCAUGCUCCGUUUGCAUAUCUGCGCCCAUUUACGUAAAUUUUCGAUGACCCAGCAUGCAACAUUUCGUAUGAAAUUUUGGCUUGAUUUAACAUAGCCCAAGAGAGAAUAAUCCUGAGGCGUUAAAUGGCAUAAUCUUGUCGGUCAUUUCUGAAAUUAACGUGUAGCCAAACUUUGCAUGCAGUGUCUGGAUGUUUAGACGUGAAACUUGAGGCGGCGCACCGUCUUGUUGCAAAUAAAAAUCGUCCGCGUCGGUUUCAUCAAAUUCCGGGAAAGAAGUCGGUCAACAUCGUGUAAUAACGUUCAAUAACGACAAUUUCCAAACGUUGUACCCAAGUUAAGCGUGACAUGAUGAAAUGGCAAACCUUACUGAACAAGCUGAUAAAAUUAUACACAAAUCCGUAAACAAACAUGGCAGCCACGAGCUGUCAAAAUCACGUCAUCCUUAUUGGUAGAUGCUGUAUUUUAGUGAGUUUAACUACUUAUUGAACACACUGUACAACAUUAAUGCAUGGUAAAAGCUAACUGGGUCUUUGAAAACAUAUUAUAGUAUAUAUGGGGUCAAAAGUCGAUGUUUUACUUGAAAGGUUUCAGAAAUUUAUGUGGAUUUUUAGUUUAGUGAUGUCAAAGUUCAAUUUUUUCUAGGAACAAACGGCAUUCGUUAUUUGUUGAAUUUUGCAAAUACAGACUACUAACAGCUUAUAAAUGUUAUAUGAUAUAGCCUGCAAAUAUUUUCUUGCUUCCGUUAAUACUCACUGUAUACAUAAUACUUGUAUGCGUCAUUUUAGCAACUUCUGAAAAAACUAUUUGAAAUUGAAGCCCAUUAAACCGGCCCUUAUUUACUAAAAUAUAUGAGAAAAUAUUUCUUUUCUGAAUUUUUGCUUGAGGGGUACGCCUAGUGUUACCUAAAAACAAAAAUGUAUCGACUAGAAGAUAUUAUCCGUACAACGAUGAGCGCUAAAUAAAAUCAAAACUUGAACAUAUGGCAGCGUUUUGUAAAAGAAAGUUAAAUUUUAAUAAUGAUCGGAUCAUUUGUCUUUAAGUAUUGAUUGCGGCAAAUUCGAAAAAUGCUGUUUCGAGAAAAUCGCGUUUAAAGAUAAACUCAUUGCCUAUUGACUAUUGACGGCUAGACUUUAAAAGGCUGUAAUUCAAAAAUUAUUAAAAAUUUGAGUAUGUAUUUUUGCAUAUGCAAGAAAAAAAAGAUUGUUUCGAAUUUUCACACUGGUGUGUGAAUUUUCAAAUGUAAACUUUUAAAACCGUUUCAAACAAACAUUCUGUUUUGGUACCUUUAUAGCAUAAUUCAAUAUUAGACCCCUGUUACUUAUUCGUAAUUCCUGGAUUUUGUUGUACAGUGUCAUAUUUUCAUAUCUAUAGUUUUGUAGACCUGUUGGCUUUAUUCCUAAAGCAAUACUAACUACUCUUCUCUACAGAAAUACGAAAUUAGCGCAUAUCUCUACUAUAAUCAUUUUAGUAAACUUUUCACCACCUGAACCGACCCCUAUUCGCCAUUUGGAUAAAUUGUUUUCUUAUAAACUAACACUUAGUAGCUACUCUAUAAUAUAUGUAGAAUGUACUGUGUUACAUAUCAAAAUCAUUUUGGAACUCGUCGUCCAUUUCAAUUUACGCUUCACUGAAACGCUUAAAAUAAAUAAUAGAUUAAACUAUCUAUCCAUUUGUUCCGUCCUUUGGUUAAAACAUACUUUCAACCGUCCUCAUCCAAACAUAUACGGCGCUUUAACAUAACAUAACAUUGCAUAACAACUUUGGUCUAAUAUAACAUGAUGUAGCAUAGCAUAACAUAACAUGACUUACAUAACAUUACAUAACACAGCAUAGCAUAACAUAACAUGACAUCGCAUAACAAAACAUAACAUGACAUAGCAUAACAUACUAACUUACAGACUCAGUGUGCUUAUAUAUAUAACCUAAUUUAAGUCGAGAAAACAUUAUUAUUAUCCCAAAGAUAACUGUUAGUCAAAAUUGGCCCUAGGUCCUGAUGCCAGCAAAUCGCAUUGAAACAAAUUAAGUGUAGAGUUGAAGUACGGUCAUAUGUGUCAAGAAAAGCAUCAAAAAUCGAAAAGUCCGUACUAGAUUUUUAGUCAUGAUCAAGUUAACAUAUUGACGAGUCCUUCAAAACAGAUUAAAUGUAGAUAAACUGAAAGAGUGAACCCAAGUGUUCUAUUAAACCAGUUAUACAGCUAAUAGUUAGGUGGCAUCUUUGUUUCAAUGUCAUGUUAGUUCAUCAUAUUUUAAAUUAUGAGCUCAAAGCUGGUUCAAGUUCAAUCAAAGGGUAUUCUAGGAACCCGAAGCGAUAUGCUAAAGGAGUAUUCAUGUCAAAUUUCAAGUAAAUCGAUUUUGAUUUUUUAAUUUGAUUUUUGGAAAAUCUUUAUCUUAAUCUAAGAAAGUUGUUUUGAAUAUCGUAACUAUCGAAAGAUGAAAAAAGGGUUUGAAAUGCGCCUAAAGAUAGGCAAUCUUUUUGAAACUCUUCUAAAGAAUCAUAUUUCUCAUUUCUCGAACCAAAUUUUAGCAAUACUGAAAGAUAAUAUUCAAACCUUAUCUGGUUUUAGGUAUUUGAAAUAAAUAGAUUUUUUAAAAUUUCUGGACUACCCUUUGGUUAAAGUUUAAACGAACAGAAAAGUGACGAAUCGAAAACGAUAAAUAUUUUUUCUAAAGUGUCAUGCAUGUCAUGUCUUUUUCAAUAUUCCAAAAAUAUAGCCAAUUUCAUUCAUCGUCUUACUUUAUAACGCACAUAAAUCAAAGUAAUAUUUAACAAAAAAAUACGCAACAUUUUCAUACAUAUAGACGAAGUUAUCUCUGUAAAAGACAGUAUUAUUAGCUACAUUUGUCAUUAUUAUAUAAUAUGUCUUGCUGUCUUCGAUUCCGCAAACCUUUACGAUUGGCGAAACGAACAAAAACUGGCAUAAAAAACAAAAAUAAAUAUAUAUAAUACUAGCGAGUAGUUAUGCCUGUAUAACUUUUGUGAGGUGGACGAAUCGAAGACGUUUUAUAUAUUUAGAACAUAUCCGUAUAUAUUUUUUUGUAGACUGUAUGAUUUACUUAGUUGUUAAGCAAUUAUGCUGCUGCUAUAUAGAACCCAAUAUUGAGACCUACUUGAACUAUACCCAUCCUCUAUGUAUACCUAGUGUUCGUAUUAUAUACAAAUCUAUUACAAAGUUAUACACCAAGUACACACAUAACUAACUACCUAACUACGAAAUUUAGAUGUAUACUAUACUACUAUUAGAAUUUGGUAUUGUAGUUGAAAGCUACACUCUAUAGCCAUGCCUAAACCUGCGUUGUGUUAACCCUUGUGAACUACAAAUAAAUAAUUAAUAUGAAACCAUAAAAAACAUAUGCAUACUUACAAUAAAAACAUUAAAAAAUAUUUAACAAUGUGAAAUCAAAGAAAUAACUGUAAUAGUUAAAGUAAAUUAAAGCAAAAGUUUGCAGCAAAGAAAUAGAAGCUAACUACUUAAAAAUAAUAGUUUAAUUUUAGAUAACUAAAUGAACUGGUUAAUUAUGUAUGGUACUUACAAACUUGCAUAUAUACUUAUUUAUUAUAUAAUAGGAAUUUAAUACAAACAAAAUAGAAAUAGUAUGAAAAGAAAUUUGUAGAAAUUUUGCAGACCCCAAACCAAACAGAAAUAUAAAUCAAACUUAAUACUUAUUGCUAAGAAAAAUCUACUACUACAAAUAUGAUGAAAUUGGUUUUCGAAAAGAUUACAUUAACAUUAACUAAGUAAAUAAAACAGUUAAAACAACUAUAGAACUAGAAAAACUUAAAUUUAGUGCGACCUAUUAUACAUAACAUAUUUAGCUCUUAACUUGCUGAAGACAUAUUUUUUGUAUUCAUAUUUCGCAUAUUGCAACGAAAUUUUUAUGCUAAAUAGUUUCAUAAUAUUUAAUGUUAUGUUCGCAAUGAGUUGCUAAACAAAAUAUGGUUUUGACAUAAACAUUUUAAGUUCUUCUCUUCUUUUAGGCCAAAAUUGUGUGCACAGGCCCUAUGCUUCCCUUAGGCACUAUAGGGAAAUACAUACGACUAUACGUAUACCUAUACGAGUGUGGGUAACAUGUUCCCAUCUUUCUCGGAAUUCGUGGAUUUCAUCCUAAAAGCAUUAAGCCGGCUUUUCAGCUAAAAAUAAAUAAAGAGAAUUUUCGAUACAUUCUCUGAUUCUGAUGUGCACCAUAGUCCAGUGAGGGCGUUUUGGAACGACCGAAACAAAUCGUAGUUAGAAGGGGAAACGUCUGGGCUAUAAGCUAAUACAGCUGAGGCAAAGGAAAUUGUUUUUAACCGGUCUUGCAAGAAAAGGUCGGUUGCCAUGAUUGAAAACUAUCGUUGCCUAACUAUUAUUGCCGGUAGUGUUCCCCAUUAAUGUUUUCACCUGGUUUUAGAAGCUAAUAAUACAGCCCGCACUUUGGGUCGCUCCAAAUAUAAAGCAUUACCUUGGUGUCAUGGAUAUUCCGCUUUGCCGUUGAUUUGGCAUGAUCGAGUGUCAAAACGGCAAUUACUAUAAGAGAUUAUAUAGUGUCACCCUGUCAACAAUUUCAAAAAAUAUUUUCUAAAAACAUACGAAUUUCGAAUACUAACCAACAUCCAAAAAGUAUGCAGCCAUUUUCGAACUUAGCGUGCUAAAACAGUGUGCUUAAGAUUUUCUGAAGUUAUAUAGUGCUAAAAUUGUAUAUUUUUUGCAUUAAAUCACCAAAGUUAAACAUUUGAAAUUUAAUUUUAUUUAAUUUAUUUUUUCAAUGCCAUUUAUUCAAAAAUAUACAUAAAACUACAAAAUAGUUGAAAGAUAUGUUCAAGCAACGCCUAAAACUAUGCAAUAAAAGCUGUAAAAUAAUAAACAACCACGUAAUAAACCACAAACAAUUGAAAUUUGAAAUUUAUUAUCCUUUCGCCAAAAUUUUCGAACAAGUUAUGUAGUUUUUGUUGUUAAAAAUUUAUGAAUAGGUAUGUAAAAUAGAUUAUAAUAAAAUACGAAUUGAAGCAGCAGACAACAAGAAGUAUAAGAAAAUGUUAUUUAGAAAAAUAAAGCAACGCCAAAAAAUAUAUAUGA